rnacentral:rRNA from 1 species
CCCUUAGAUGUCCGGGGCCGCACGCGCGCUACACUGAAGGAAUCAGCGUGGCUUUCUCCCUGACCCGAAAGGGUUGGGAAACCCGUUGAAUCUCCUUCGUGAUAGGGAUUGGGGCUUGAAAUUGUUCCCCAUGAACGAGGAAUUCCCAGUAAGCGCGAGUCAUCAGCUCGCGUUGAUUACGUCCCUGCCCUUUGUACACACCGCCCGUCGCUACUACCGAUUGAACGGUUUAGUGAGGGCCUCGGAUUGGUCUCGGCCCGCUCUUUACCGGGCGGCGCCGUUGGUCGAGAAGACGCUCGAACUUGAUCGUUUAGAGGAAGUAAAAGUCGUAACA